rnacentral:misc_RNA from 1 species
UAGCCUGCAAGCUCUGCGCCACGCCAUUCGAUUCCACCCUUUUUCCUUUCUCAACUUUCAUCACUCCCCAUUUCCCCUUCUUCCCUGCUUCUAUCUAUUACACCCCUGAAUAUCUGCCUUUUUCCGGAAUGGGGAGCGCAGGGGAAACCAAUUAUGGCUCUUAUACUUAUCAGGAGCUUGAAAGAGAGCCUUAUUGGCCGUCGGAGAAACUGACAAUCUCCAUCACUGGCGCUGGUGGCUUUAUAGCUUCCCACAUUGCCAGGCGUUUG